AGCGGCGGACGGGUGAGUAAUGCCUAGGAAUCUGCCCUUUUGUGGAGGAUAACCCGGGGAAACUCGGGCUAAUACUGCAUAAUCUCUACGGAGCAAAGCGGGGGAUCUUUUGACCUCGCGCAGAAGGAUGAGCCUAGGUCUGAUUAGCUUGUUGGUGGGGUAACGGCCUACCAAGGCGACGAUCAGUAGCUGGUCUGAGAGGAUGAUCAGCCACACCGGGACUGAGACACGGCCCGGACUCCUACGGGAGGCAGCAGUGGGGAAUAUUGGACAAUGGGCGAAAGCCUGAUCCAGCCAUGCCGCGUGUGUGAAGAAGGCCUUAGGGUUGUAAAGCACUUUAAGCAGGAAAGAAAAGCGCCGGAUUAAUACUCCGAGCGUAUUGACGGUACCUGCAGAAUAAGCACCGGCUAACUCCGUGCCAGCAGCCGCGGUAAUACGGAGGGUGCAAGCGUUAAUCGGAAUUACUGGGCGUAAAGCGUGCGUAGGCGGUUGCGUGUGUCAAAUGUGAAAGCCCCGGGCUCAACCUGGGAAUUGCAUUCGAAACUGCGUGACUAGAAUAUGGUAGAGGAAGAUGGAAUUCCACGUGUAGCGGUGAAAUGCGUAGAUAUGUGGAAGGACACCAAUGGCGAGCAUCUUCUGGGUAUAAUGACGCUGAGUACGAAGCGUGGCUAGCAAACAGCAUAGAAUACCCUGGUAGCCCACGGU
rnacentral:rRNA from 1 species